AUUUAGGUGGCAGUGGCGAUAUCGUAAUCAAUGAAGUUUUACCGAGGUGCGAUUAUUGGUAGUUGAAAUCUGAAAAAAAAUGAAAACUAUUGCUUUGACAAAAAUGGAUUUAUUUAAAUUUUUUAGACCGUUUUCAGA